UGUCCCUGAGACCCAAGUCAGUGGUGGGAGU
rnacentral:piRNA from 1 species